AGUAGUUUGAUCCUGGCUCAAGAACGAACGCUGGCGGCAGGCCUCAAACAUGCAAGUCUAGGGGGUGUAGCAAUACAUCACCGGCGGACGGGUGCGUAACGCGUGGGAAUAUACCUAUCGAUUCGGAACAACUGAGGGAAACUUCAGCUAAUACCGAAUACGUCCUAACGGAGAAAGAUUUAUCGUCGAUAGAUUAGCCCGCGUUCGAUUAGCUAGUUGGUGGGGUAACGGCCCACCAAGGCGACGAUCGAUAGCUGUUCUGAGAGGAAGAUCAGCCACACUGGGACUGAGACACGGCCCAGACUCCUACGGGGAGGCAGCAGGUUGGGAAUCUUGGACAAUGGGGGAAACCCCUGAUCCAGCCAUGCCGCGUGAGUGAUGGAGGCCUUCGGGUUGUAAAACUCUUUCGCGCACGACGAUAAUGACGGUAGUGCGAGAAGAAGCUCCGGCUAACUUCGUG
rnacentral:rRNA from 1 species